UGGGGAAUAUUGGACAAUGGGCGAAAGCCUGAUCCAGCCAUGCCGCGUGUGUGAAGAAGGUCUUCGGAUUGUAAAGCACUUUAAGUUGGGAGGAAGGGCAGUAAGCGAAUACCUUGCUGUUUUGACGUUACCGACAGAAUAAGCACCGGCUAACUCUGUGCCAGCAGCCGCGGUAAUACAGAGGGUGCAAGCGUUAAUCGGAAUUACUGGGCGUAAAGCGCGCGUAGGUGGUUCGUUAAGUUGAAUGUGAAAGCCCCGGGCUCAACCUGGGAAAUGCAGCCAAAACUGGCGAGCUAGAGUAGGGCAGAGGGUGGUGGAAUUUCCUGUGUAGCGGUGAAAUGCGUAGAUAUAGGAAGGAACACCAGUGGCGAAGGCGACCACCUGGGCUCAUACUGACACUGAGGUGCGAAAGCGUGGGGAGCAAACAGG
rnacentral:rRNA from 1 species